UAUGCUUGAGAAUACGGCCAUGGCGAUGAUACACUUCGAUCUCAGUUGCUCGUGCCGGCCACCCGAGACCGCCGCCUUUUCUCACCGUUUCUCUCUUUGAUAUCUCUUCUUUUUCCGACAGCUCCAACUUCAAGGGGAGUUCAGUUGGCUUCGAGUUUGAGCUUUGAACUCAAAGCAUCAAACAAGUAGCUCAACGAACAGGCGCAUGUAAUUGCCACAAAGCACACACCAAUUUGCGGAGAAAGAAGACAGAGAGCGGAAGCAAUGUCCGUACUUAUUGUAACAAGUCCGGGGGACAUUGUGAUCGACCUACACACCGACAUGUGCCCCUUGACCUCCAAGAAUUUCUUGAAGAUCUGUAAAUUAAAGUCUGCAACACAUUAUACAGAAGGACUUAACUGCUCAGACUGGUGACCCCACUGACUUUUCCAUCCAAUGACAAUCAAGUGCCCAACUUGUCUUUCUUGUUCAAGUUUAUUUCCAUAAUUCUUAAAUCUAACUUAUUUUAUUGUAAUUACCAUAGUAUAUGCGGAGUAGGCUGUGAAAACUUCAUUUCCAGCAUGGUUUGGUGUUCAUUUCUUCAAUCUGAACUAAAAACUUCAGCUGAUUCAAUCUUAUCUUGUCGUGCAAUGUUUGAGACGAAAGAGGCAUGUGAACAAGCAUAUUUUAAGGUGUGUUAAAAAAAUGAACUGUUGUUGGCCCGUUCUCCCACUGCCAUUGUUAAAAAGACAUGUCUUAUAAUCUUUUCUUGUUUAUGGAAGAUGGACAAUGCUCUGAUUGAUGAUAAUAGGCAUGAAGCGAAAAGGUAGGUAAAUGGUAGAAGGAGAAGUACAGAUGAUAUGGAGAAAGAAAUUUGAAGGGUAAAAAGCAGAGAUGAAAGAUAGGGGAUGAGCUAUUUAGAUUGAAAGAGUUGUAGAUGACUGUUAAACUAACUCCAGUAGAUGGAAUGUCACAAUGGCUGAAGUCACUUCAUGGUGGCCUUCUACGGUACAAUGCCACUUGAUGUUGUAGAUUCAUUGGAAGUUGGAACCUAACAAUGCUGUGAUCAAAGAGGAAUUUGAUCCGAAAUCUUUAGUGUGAGAUUGAUGUCAUUAAUUGGUAAUAGUGAGCAAGGAAUCAAAGUAGGCAAAGCUACAUAUAGGAAUGCUGCCUUCAUUGGUGGUGGUAGAGGGAGAAGCUACAAAGCACUCUAAAUAAAUAGGUAAUCAAUUUUACAAGUUCCAAAUCAUAAAGUCAAAAAUUACGAACAUCACCACUGUAGGGGUCAUCAGAAAAAUACAGCCAUUUAGGCUAGAGCUAGAAUCCACAAUUGGUCCUUUUCAAACAGUUGUUAAAUAUCUGAAAAAGGUUGUUCAGCGUUCCGAUUCAUAUAAAUGAUAAAUGAAGAAGAAACUUUUCUCUUACAGGUCUAUAGAGAGAAUCAUAUUGGAUUUCCAAUUAAAGUCGUUGGGAAAAAGAUGGUGUUGUUUUUAUGGGCGAAAGCCAGGCUUAAAACUAAUGAGUGUUUGUUGCUUUGUUAUUCCGUUUCCAAUUGUGUCGUCAUGGCUUUAGUGUCUUUAUAUUAUAUUUUUCUUAUUCCACAUAGAUUGGAGAGAGGAAUGAGUGCUAGCGAGGAUGCUGGGUCUCGAAGGGGAGUGGAUUGUGUGAUCUAACAUCAGUUAGAUAGGGGAACGGAACAUUCUUUAUAAGGGUGUGGAAACCUCUCCCUAACAGAUGCGUUUUAAAAACUUUGAGAGGAAGUCCAGAAGGGAAAGCCCAUAGAAGACAAUAUCUGCUAGCGGUGGGCUUGAGUUGUUACAUAGACCUUUGACACCGUUUGAUAGAUAGAUGAAGAAGAACAUGUAAUUAAAUAAGACCGCUCUUAUUUCGUUUUGUUUCCACCACUCACUCGUCGAAUGUUCAGCUUCAUCACUACUUACCGUUCAUCAAUUGAAGCAUUAUUGUUCGAAUCAGUAGGCCAUCUGUAAAUGGAAGUGUUUUUUUUACACUUCUUCAACAUCAUCUUAAAUUGAUUAUCUUUGGCAGAAGAAGCCAAAGUUUGUCAUGUUUGCUUGCAAGAGACUGGCAUGCUUGCUCUAGCACCCGACAAAGGUCGUGGCGAACCCGACCUUAUCGGUGUUUUCAGAAUGUGCUUUUUCGACCUUAAAGCUGGCACACUUGCCUCAAUGUUAGAGAGGAAACAAUGCAGGCAGUGCAAGACUUGUCCUUGGUACGUACGCGCCUCUGUAUUCUUCUUACUUUACCAUCCGUCAAGUAAAAUGUGUCGAGUCUGCUAGAACAUGAAGCAUUGCCAUACAUAAAUGAAAUGUGUAAUUUCUAUCCAUGGUUUAUUUUUCUAGUAUUUACCACACCCAAAUACCAGAAAUUUGAAAAUACUUCUGAAAUUACAUAUAAAUGAGAUGAAGACAUCCAGUAUAUAAGUUCAUGUCCUUGUCUAAUCUAGAUUCUACCUUUUCAAAUAUUUUAAUUUCACCCAACUUGCUACCAUUUUAAAUGGUUGAAUUGUCACAUCAAAGUUGGUGAAUUGAGCUUUCUCCUGCCAACUCUUUGAUUGAUUAGUAUUAAUGCUUUCCCCCUCCCUGCAUUUGAAAAAAGCAUGCCUGUUAUGUCAUAUAGUUUAUUACUUGAACCUAAAAGUCUCAUAAGUUGGGUUGAUUAUCAUUAAGCCUGCAUUCACAUAAUAAAAUUUAUGAUUAACCCAAAGAUUAUUUCCUCAGGUACUUAAUUAUCAUUGAAUCAGGGCUGAACUCAUAAAUAUUUGUAAGAAAAAUGAUGUUUUGACAGGUGGCCGAAGUAUAUACACGACAGCUCUCCUAACAGUUAGAUGAUACACGAAGAACAUGUAAUAUGAGAAACGUGUGCGUACUAGUCGACUUCUCAUUUAAGACCAAUUUCACCAACUGCUACCUGCUGCCUAUAUUGAGUUGUGAACAGAAAUAACUCCACCAAUAAUUGCAUCAACCCUCUUGGCUUUGGGUUUGGCAUAUAUAUGUUGAACAUUGUUUGUGUGGCAGUUUCAAAGCUUUCCAUAUUUAACAAAGUUUGAAACAGAAGGAUCGAAGAGAAGAAAAAGGCAGCUAAGGGCCAUGCAGUUGUUGUCAUUGGUUGCAUAUUACAUAUUUUUCAAUGCUUCGAAGGUUGCUUAUUUUGUAUUUUUGGCGCUCCUUGUAGCUUUUAAUCUCAUCAUACUCGCGGAUAAUAUGCGACAUUUGGAGACGCUUGGAGCUCUGAUUUGCAAGGAUGAGGUUCAAAAUUGUGUGUUUUUCCAGUUUGAAGCCUCUCACGAUCAAUCUCUUCACUACUACAGCCUCAACUACAAUGCUUCUGUUUGUUAGCUUCUCUUGCAAAUACAUAUAAAGUCGGCCAAACUUCUUUUAGUUUCCUUUCCUUUGUUCUUUUUUUUUUUUCGGAAUUUUCUCCUUUUGAGUGUCAUGAUUGGAUUGUGUAUAUUACUGUUUACAUAAGAUGAAUGUGAGUACAGCAAGGUUUCUUUUA